rnacentral:lncRNA from 1 species
AAAGACAAAAUAGAAAAUCUAUAAAGGAAAAGAUAAUAGGAGUUCUUACUUAGUUUUAGAAUCGAAUUGAACCGAAAUAAAAAUUUUCUUUUUGAGUGAUCUGAUUGUGCGAUACCUUUUUUCUUCUCAUUUGAAAAUAUUAUGGGAAUGAACCCACCGCUGAACCUAAUGAGUUAAAAAUAUAAAGUAAAUAAAAUAAAGUCAAAAAGAAAUAAAAAAGAAAAAAAGUAAAGCAAAGGUUAUUUAAAGUAUUAAAGUAAAGAAAAAAGUAUUAUAAGGUGGUCACUCUUUAGUCGAAAAUGUAUUUGAUACAAUAAAAAAGAAAAAAUUAAAAUACAAAAUAGAAGCGAUUCCUCAAAGUUACAUGGCAUAGUUUUUAGUAUUUUUUUAAUAUUAGUUGAUUCAAGAGUUGCCCACUCAAUCUGUUGAUUCGGAAUCGUGGGAUGGGUCGCUGUAAAAGACGAUGAAUUGGUUUCUUUUUCUAUCCCUGCCACUCAUUUUUGUUAGUACCUUCUAGAAUACUUGAAGAAUCAAAACUUUCAAUUGAAGGUAUUCUUUCAAUGGGUAGAGCAUUUUUGCUUAUCUUCGUAUCGUCCAAAAGUGGAAACUUAGGGAAGUGCUUUAUAA